CUCCGCCUCGGCAGUGCCAGCCGCCAGUGGUCGCACUUGGAGGGUCUCGCCGCCAGUGGAAGGAGCCACCGCCCCCGCCCGACCAUGGCCGAGGAGCUGGUCUUAGAGAGGUGUGAUCUGGAGCUGGAGACCAAUGGCCGAGACCACCACACAGCCGACCUGUGCCGGGAGAAGCUGGUGGUGCGACGGGGCCAGCCCUUCUGGCUGACCCUGCACUUUGAGGGCCGCAACUACGAGGCCAGUGUAGACAGUCUCACCUUCAGUGUCGUGACCGGCCCAGCCCCUAGCCAGGAGGCCGGGACCAAGGCCCGUUUUCCACUAAGAGAUGCUGUGGACGAGGGUGACUGGACAGCCACCGUGGUGGACCAGCAAGAUUGCACCCUCUCGCUGCAGCUCACCACCCCGGCCAACGCCCCCAUCGGCCUGUAUCGCCUCAGCCUGGAGGCCUCCACUGGCUACCAGGGAUCCAGCUUUGUGCUGGGCCACUUCAUCUUGCUCUUCAACGCCUGGUGCCCAGCGGAUGCUGUGUACCUGGACUCGGAAGAGGAGCGGCAGGAGUACGUCCUCACCCAGCAGGGCUUUAUCUACCAGGGCUCGGCCAAGUUCAUCAAGAACAUACCUUGGAAUUUUGGGCAGUUUGAAGAUGGGAUCCUAGACAUCUGCCUGAUCCUUCUAGAUGUCAACCCCAAGUUCCUGAAGAACGCGGGCCGUGACUGCUCCCGCCGCAGCAGCCCCGUCUACGUGGGCCGGGUGGUGAGCGGCAUGGUCAACUGCAACGAUGACCAGGGUGUGCUGCUGGGACGCUGGGACAACAACUACGGGGACGGCGUCAGCCCCAUGUCCUGGAUCGGCAGCGUGGACAUCCUGCGGCGCUGGAAGAACCACGGCUGCCAGCGCGUCAAGUAUGGCCAGUGCUGGGUCUUCGCUGCCGUGGCCUGCACAGUGCUGAGGUGCCUGGGCAUCCCCACCCGCGUCGUGACCAACUACAACUCGGCCCAUGACCAGAACAGCAACCUUCUCAUCGAGUACUUCCGCAAUGAGUUUGGGGAGAUCCAGGGUGACAAGAGCGAGAUGAUCUGGAACUUCCACUGCUGGGUAGAGUCGUGGAUGACCAGGCCGGACCUGCAGCCGGGGUACGAGGGCUGGCAGGCCCUGGACCCAACGCCCCAGGAGAAGAGCGGAGGGACGUACUGCUGUGGCCCAGUUCCAGUUCGUGCCAUCAAGGAGGGCGACCUGAGCACCAAGUACGAUGCGCCCUUUGUCUUUGCGGAGGUCAAUGCUGACGUGGUAGACUGGAUCCAGCAGGACGAUGGGUCUGUGCACAAAUCCAUCAACCGUUCCCUGAUCGUUGGGCUAAAGAUCAGCACUAAGAGCGUGGGCCGAGACGAGCGGGAGGAUAUCACUCACACCUACAAAUACCCAGAGGGGUCCUCAGAGGAGAGGGAGGCCUUCACAAGGGCGAACCACCUGAACAAACUGGCCGAGAAGGAGGAGACAGGGAUGGCCAUGCGGAUCCGUGUGGGCCAGAGCAUGAACAUGGGCAGUGACUUUGACGUCUUUGCCCACAUCACCAACAACACCGCUGAGGAGUACGUCUGCCGCCUCCUGCUCUGUGCCCGCACCGUCAGCUACAAUGGGAUCUUGGGGCCCGAGUGUGGCACCAAGUACCUGCUCAACCUCAACCUGGAGCCUUUCUCUGGUAAGGCCCUGUGUUCCUGGAGCAUUUGUUGACUGCCAACUGACAACAUGCUAGGUAGUGACCUAACCAUUUAGCAUGUGUGAUUUCACCCCACAGACACUUACAUGGCGCUGACUCUGGGGCAGGCCCUGUCCUAAGCACUUUAUAAAUAUCAACCCACUUA
rnacentral:sRNA from 1 species